CAGCCCUAAACGAUGCGCGUUAGGUGUAUCGGUGACCACGAGUCACCGAGGUGCCGAAGGGAAACCGUGAAACGUGCCGCCUGGGAAGUACGGUCGCAAGGCUGAAACUUAAAGGAAUUGGCGGGGGAGCACCACAAGAGGUGGAGCCUGCGGUUUAAUUGGACUCAACGCCGGGAAGCUCACCGGAUAAGACAGCGGAAUGAUUGCCGGGCUGAAGACCCUGCAUGACCAGCUGAGAGGUGGUGCAUGGCGUCAGUGACU
rnacentral:rRNA from 1 species